AACGAACGCUGGCGGCAUGCCUAACACAUGCAAGUCGAACGAGACCUUCGGGUCUAGUGGCGCACGGGUGCGUAACGCGUGGGAAUCUGCCCUUGGGUUCGGAAUAACAGUUAGAAAUGACUGCUAAUACCGGAUAAUGUCUUCGGACCAAAGAUUUAUCGCCCAGGGAUGAGCCCGCGUAGGAUUAGCUAGUUGGUGAGGUAAAGGCUCACCAAGGCGACGAUCCUUAGCUGGUCUGAAGAGGAUGAUCAGCCACACUGGGACUGAGACACGGCCCAGACCCCUAGGGAGCAGCAGUGGGGAAUAUUGGACC
rnacentral:rRNA from 1 species